GCCGCUGCCCCCUCUGCCACUACUCCUUCAGCCACAACUCCUCCAGCCACGGCUCCCUUUUCCCCUGCUCUUAAUACCGCAACACCACCACGACUGUCUUUGACUUUUAGACAAACGAGGGAAAAUGUGGACAAAUACGUUCAAGAUGCCUGGAAGGGAAAGCACGUCCAUGUUCUCCUCUCAAAAAUCGGGGCGUACAAAUUGUUCUUUUGGGACAUUAUGAACGUUGGACCCAAUUCUGAGCUGGAAUCGGAGGUUAUAAACGCGUACCUCCUGUUGUUGGUGAACAAACGCAACCAAAUCAGCGUGGAAAAGGUUUCCUACAUUGACUCAUUUGCAAUGACAAAUUUAUGGAAUGGAAAGAGCCAGAGACUCAAGAUCAACCCGGUGGAAUACAAACUUAUUGUUGGCAUUGUCAAUGAGCAUAAUCAUUGGAAGCUGGCGGCAAUCAUGCCAGGAGAAAAAAGGUCCUUACUAGUUGAUCCUCUUGGUGAGUCUCAAAUGGACAUUAAAUAAUGCCUGGAAUCAACCCGGGCGUUCAUGCGCAAGAAAGGGUGCAAUGUUUCCAGGUGGACUUGUGGCACUGUCCCCCAUCCCAGGCAACAAGAUUCAACCUCUUGUGGUGUCUUUGCUUUGAAAUUUGCAGAACAUCUUCUUUCAAAUGAAGAAAUAGAUUUCUCAGCAAAGGCACAUGAUGUAAAUAGGUACAGGCUGCAAAUUGCCACCACACUUCUAUUAGAGACUGAUGAUUUAUCUGACUUGUGCUUUGUUUGUGGGGAAGCUACACAUGACACAGACAACAGAUGGGUAAUUAUGUCAGGUCUUGUUAACUAAUGCAUGUGAUGAUUAAGAAAUAUAUUGAAUUACACAUUCGUUGUAAAUUAUUGUAAAUGUGCUGCAUUGUAUGAUCUUGCUUUUUUCUUUGUUUACCAGAUUCAGUGUGACGAGUGUUGCAAGUGGUUCCAUCUUGUAUGUGUCGGGGAGCCUCCAACCGAAGGCUCUUUUGUGUACAACAUGUACAGAAAUUAAAUGCUAAAUAUUUGAAGCUUGCUUGAA